CCUACGGGAGGCAGCAGUAGGGAAUUUUCGUCAAUGGGCGCAAGCCUGAACGAGCGAUGCCGCGUGAGUGAAGAAGGCCUUCGGGUCGUAAAGCUCUGUUGCGGGGGAAAAAAGGCAGCAUCAGGAAAUGGGUGCUGACUGAUGGUGCCCCGCCAGAAAGUCACGGCUAACUCCGUGCCAGCAGCCGCGGUAAUACGUAGGUGGCGAGCGUUAUCCGGAAGGAUUGGGCGUAAAGGGUGCGCAGGCGGUCCUGCAAGUCUGGAGUGAAACGCAUGAGCUCAACUCAUGCAUGGCUUUGGAAACUGGAGGACUGGAGAGCAGGAGAGGGCGGUGGAACUCCAUGUGUAGCGGUAAAAUGCGUAGAUAUAUGGAAGAACACCAGUGGCGAAGGCGGCCGCCUGGCCUGUUGCUGACGCUGAGGCACGAAAGCGUGGGGAGCAAAUAGGAUUAGAUACCCCUGUAGUC
rnacentral:rRNA from 1 species